rnacentral:rRNA from 1 species
CCCCUAGAUGUUCUGGGCCGCACGCGCGCUACACUGAACAGUUCAACAAGUCUUAACCUUGGCCGAUAGGUCUGGGUAAUCUUUGAACGCUGUUCGUGAUUGGGAUAGACCUUUGCAAUUAUGGGUCUUCAACGAGGAAUUCCUAGUAAACGCAAGUCAUCAGCUUGCAUUGAUUACGUCCCUGCCCUUUGUACACACCGCCCGUCGCACCUACCGAUUGAAUGGUCCGGUGAAAUCUCGGGACGGCGGCUUGGUCGCUUGCGUCCGACUGCUGAAACUUGAUUAAACCAUAUCAUUUAGAGGAAGUUGAAGUCGUANCA